UAUUCUAGGAUCUUCAGUCGAGUCCAUCUGUUAAUAUUCAUUAACUUUCCAUCAAGUUUCUUUGGAAUGAAGUCAUUUUAUUGCAUAGAAUAUCUAAAGUAGUCUUGAAAACAUAGAUGAAAAUUGAUGAAAGUACUCAAUCAAAAAAUCAAGAAAACAUUUGGAUCCUAAUUGUUAAGAGUUAUAAAUUGGGAAUUCAAUCCAAAAUGCGCACACUUACAGACUAAAUUGAGGUUUACCUUGAAUUCUUUUGUGGCAGUAAACUUUACCCACUACCUGGAUUCCUUGUACUGCUUUAGCGCUUCAUGGAUGCUCCAAAGAUGAUAAAAGGUGCUGGAGGAGAAGAUUGAAGGAAGGAAUCUUUUGGCGAGACGUAAAAAACAGCUGCAACAUUAUGGCGGGGACAAGAGUUGAACACGGGAUGCAAAUGGGAAACGG